rnacentral:rRNA from 1 species
UACGUAGGUGGCAAGCGUUGUCCGGAUUUACUGGGCGUAAAGGGCGUGCAGGCGGUUUUGUUAAGUUCAGGGUGAAAGCUCCCGGCUCAACUGGGAGAGGUCCUUGGAUACUGGCAGACUUGAGGAGGGUAGAGGAGAGUGGAAUUCCCGGUGUAGUGGUGAUAUGCGUAGAUAUCGGGAGGAACACCAGUGGCGAAGGCGGCGAUCUGGGUCGAUACUGACGCUGAGGUGCGAAAGCGUGGGGAGCAAACAGG